rnacentral:rRNA from 1 species
AACGAACGCUGGCGGCAUGCCUAACACAUGCAAGUCGAACGAGACCUUCGGGUCUAGUGGCGCACGGGUGCGUAACGCGUGGGAACCUGCCCUUAGGUUCGGAAUAACUCCCCGAAAGGGGUGCUAAUACCGGAUAAUGUCUUCGGACCAAAGAUUUAUCGCCUUUGGAUGGGCCCGCGUUGGAUUAGCUAGUUGGUAGGGUAAAAGCCUACCAAGGCGACGAUCCAUAGCUGGUCUGAGAGGAUGAUCAGCCACACUGGGACUGAGACACGGCCCAGACUCCUACGGGAGGCAGCAGUGGGGAAUAUUGGACAAUGGGCGAAAGCCUGAUCCAGCAAUGCCGCGUGAGUGAUGAAGGCCUUAGGGGUGUAAAGCUCUUUUACCCGGGAUGAUAAUGACAGUACCGGGAGAAUAAGCUCCGGCUAACUCCG